GGACCAGAUCAAGAAACUAGCCACAAGAUUAAAAACCAUGGCCCAGGAGCCACGCUGAUGGAGGCUACAAGACUCUGAUCCUCCCUCAACUGCUCUCAAGGUUUGCCCAAUGUAAUUAAAAGAUUCCUAAAAGUUCAUCAAGGAAAACAGAAGAGUCAGAACCGAACAGGCAGAUGUAACUACAGAAGCAAAAUUGGAAUGCUGAGCUAUGGGAAGUAUUCAAGUCAACUACGCUGGUUUUGAAAAUGAAAGAAGAGUGUGACCAACCAAGGAACACCGGCAGCCUCUACAUACUGGAAAAGAUAGAACCCAAGGACAUUUUACUGAUCUGAGCAUAUUUUAUAUCAAUCGUUUUGAGACUACUUUAUUUGCAUUAACAAGUGAGUAUUUCAGACCAGCAGCCCUCAAGGUCUUUCAAUAACUCAGAAAUACCUAUCCAUAUACUCAGUUAUUCCAUUAUAUCUCUGUGAACAAAAAUGAGCUGUGAGAAUGAACAUUGGCAUGUAAACUUCAAUCUUUCAUGCCUUCUCAUUUUAUAGAGUUGCCUAUGUUUAACACUGGUUCCACAAUAACACUUCAGUGACAAAAAUGUGCUUUCAAACUAGGAUUAACAGUUGAUGAAGGAAACAGAAUAAAGGCUAUAACGAUUUGUAUAAUAAUCACAUUCUGAUAUUGAAUUGCUUUAUUAUUUAUUUCCUGUAGAACUAUAUACUUAGCCAUGAACAAUAAGCAUACAAAGGUAUUAGAAUGAGUUAUUUAGCAGUUACGUUAUCUUUUAUAAGUAGUGUAAACUGCAUAAUUGUUUAAUAUAUCUUUUAGCUUUCAGGUUUCUUUUAUUUAUUCACUACUAUUUUCCUCAUACUUGAGAAAUGUUAAAAAUAUUUAUCAAUAAAAAAUUGAAACUAC
rnacentral:lncRNA from 10 species